rnacentral:rRNA from 1 species
UACGAGAGCUCCAAGCGUCAUCCGGAAUUACUGGGCGUAAAGGGUGUGUAGGCGGUUUUGUUAGUCAUUCGUUAAAGCCCCGAGCUUAACUUGGGAAAGGCGAAUGAAACGGCAAGACUAGAAAGUGCAAGAGGCAUGUGGAACUCAUGGAGUAGGGGUGAAAUCCGUUGAUAUCAUGGGGAACACCAAAGGCGAAGGCAACAUGCUGGUGCAUAUUUGACGCUGAAACACGAAAGCGUGGGUAGCGAAUGGG